AGUGAACGCUGGCGGUAGGCCUAACACAUGCAAGUCGAACGACAGCACAGUAAGAGCUUGCUCUUACGGUUGGCGAGUGGCGGACGGGUGAGGAAUACAUCGGAAUCUACUUUUUCGUGGGGGAUAACGGAGGGAAACUUACGCUAAUACCGCAUACGACCUACGGGUGAAAUCAGUAGAGCUUCGGACCUUGCCCGAUUGAAUGAGCCGAUGUCGGAUUAGCUAGUUGGCGGGGUAAAGGCACACCAAGGCGACGAUCCGUAGCUGAUCUGAGAGGAUGAUCAGCCACACUGGAACUGAGACACGGUCCAGACUCCUACGGGAGGCAGCAGUGGGGAAUAUUGGACAAUGGGCGCAAGCCUGAUCCAGCCAUACCGCGUGGGUGAAGAAGGCCUUCGGGUUGUAAAGCCCUUUUGUUGGGGAAGAAAAGCAGCAGGUGAAUACCCCGCUGUUCUGACGGUACCCAAAGAAUAAGCACCGGCUAACUUCGUG
rnacentral:rRNA from 1 species